ACGAACGCUGGCGGCGUGCUUAACACCUGCAAGUCGAACGGAAAGGCCUGCUUUCCCUUGUGGAUUGCGGGUACUCGAGUGGCGAACGGGUGAGUAACACGUGAGUGAUCUGCCCCCAACUUGGGUAUAAGCCUGGGAAACUGGGUCUAAUUCCCGAUAGGACUGCAGGGUGGUGCCUGUGGUGGAAAACGAUUUUCUAGUGGUUGGGGAUGAGCUCGCGGCCUAUCAGCUUGUUGGUGGGGUAAUGGCCUACCAAGGCGGCGACGGGUAGCCGGCCUGAGAGGGUGGACGGCCACAUUGGGACUGAGAUACGGCCCAGACUCCUACGGGAGGCAGCAGUGGGGAAUAUUGCACAAUGGGCGGAAGCCUGAUGCAGCGACGCCGCGUGGGGGAUGACGGCCUUCGGGUUGUAAACUCCUUUCGACCGCGAGGAAGCCACCUGGUUGGAAGGGUGGUGACGGUAGUGGUAGAAGAAGCACCGGCUAACUACGU
rnacentral:rRNA from 1 species